UACGUAGGGGGCUAGCGUUGUCCGGAAUCAUUGGGCGUAAAGGGCGCGUAGGCGGUUCGUACAGUCAGACGUGAAAUUCCUGGGCUCAACCUGGGGGCUGCGUUUGAUACGUGCGGGCUUGAGUUCGGAAGAGGGUCGUGGAAUUCCCAGUGUAGAGGUGAAAUUCGUAGAUAUUGGGAAAAACACCGGUGGCGAAGGCGGCGACCUGGUCCGAUACUGACGCUGAGGCGCGAAAGCGUGGGGAGCGAACAGG
rnacentral:rRNA from 1 species